AAUGAACGCUGGCGGCAGGCCUAACACAUGCAAGCCGAACGGGUCCUUCGGGACUAGUGGCGGACGGGUGAGUAACGCGUGGGAACGUGCCCCUUGGUACGGAAUAGCCCCGGGAAACUGGGAGUAAUACCGUAUGUGGUCGAGAGACGAAAGAUUUAUCGCCAAGGGAUCGGCCCGCGUUGGAUUAGGUAGUUGGUGGGGUAAUGGCCUACCAAGCCGACGAUCCAUAGCUGGUUUGAGAGGAUGAUCAGCCACACUGGGACUGAGACACGGCCCAGACUCCUACGGGAGGCAGCAGUGGGGAAUCUUAGACAAUGGGGGAAACCCUGAUCUAGCCAUGCCGCGUGAUCGAUGAAGGCCUUAGGGUUGUAAAGAUCUUUCAGGUGGGAAGAUAAUGACUGUACACCAGAAGAAGCCCCGGCUAACUCCGUG
rnacentral:rRNA from 1 species